GCUAAAUAGCAGCAGUAGCCUUAGUUUAAGUUUCACUUUGAGUUGUAAAUUUCCAUCAGAAGUCAACUGAGUGUGGGGCAGUGCAGAGUGCCAGUGCUGUUUUCUCCUGCUGCAUUUUUUCUUUCUACAUUGGUGCCUUGGAUACUAUUUGUCCAUCUUACGGGCUGAGACUGAAUCACAACUGCAAGAGGCAGUUGCAUAGGCAGCCAGCUUAAUCAGUCUUGCUGGUCAAUGUUCGCAUAACACUGGAAAACAAACAAGAGACUGCUUUGGACUUGGCACACUGGUAUGUCCUCCAGCGGACCCGUGCACCUUUUGAAAGGUUCAGAGAUGGUUUAACAUCUCUAGGUGUCCUAGAUGCUCUCCAGAGAUCCCCUCUACAAACAAAGUGCCUUUUUGUGAAGGCUGAAAAGGGUUUAAGAGUGUGGAGAAUCUCUUCGAGAUCAUUUACUCUGAAAGAGGGAGUAAUGCAUUUCAAGAAGAGUGCCGGAUCCUGGCUUUCUGGCAAGACUA